UAAAUCAUUCAAGUUUCUGACCUAUCAGCUUUCGACGGUAUGGUAUUGGCUUACCGUGGCAGUGACGGUUAACGGGGGAUUAGGGUUCGAUUCCGGAGAGGGAGCCUGAGAAACGGCUACCACAUCUAAGGAAGGCAGCAGGCGCGCAAAUUACCCAAUUCUAACAGUUUGAGAGAGGUAGUAACAAGAAAUAACAAUACAAGGCAGUUAAAAUGCUUUGUAAUUGGAAUGAUAGAAAUUUAAACCCUUUUUAAAGUAUCAAUUGGAGGGCAAGUCUGGUGCCAGCAGCCGCGGUAAUUCCAGCUCCAAUAGCGUAUAUUAAAAUUGUUGCAGUUAAAAAGCUCGUAGUUGAAGUUCUGCUAAAAGUAACCGGUCUGCUUUGAAAAAAGUGGUAUCUUGGUAUGUAUUUAGCAAUGAUGUCCUUUGAAGUGUUUUUUACUUUAUUGUAAUAAAGCAUAUUCAGGACUUUUACUUUGAGAAAAUUAGAGUGUUUCUAGCAGGCCAACGCUUUGAAUACUG
rnacentral:rRNA from 1 species